CACGCCUCCAGGAGUCGGGGAGAAAAGCCACGGCUCGAGACCGCGAGCUCGACCAAGAUCCACCGCUUCGCUUCCGACCUUCUCCGCCGGCGACUGGAGAGACGGUCCGGCCCCUCUCCCUCCGGUGGUCCGCCACCUCACUCCGUCUCUCCAAUGACCGCGACGUCACUGGUCCUUACGCUGCUCCUUCCCCGGAUCUCCCCUCCGCCUCGAAUUUCCUGUCCCCUCCGGCGACGGCGACGGCGACGGCUCCACGGUCAAAUUCCACUAAUGUCGACCUAAGGUUAGCCCCCCUCCUCUUCCACCUCAUUUUUUUUCACCAGUCGAUGCACUCAACGUCCGUGCACUGAUGCUUGAACAUACAGAUUCUAGAACCUGAGCACUUCUCCUCUUCUUUUAACUAAUUUUAUAGGCCGAAUGCAAAAUUUACUCACAGGUUAUACAUCUCACCUGUGUUAUGCCUUUCUUCUGAAAUUAAAAAUCAAUAGUGGGAGAGAGAUAUUGCUGUACUGGUUAAGACAACUAAUUUUCAUACAAUGGCAGCAGUGCACAAACAGUGUCAGUGGUGUGUACUUAUUUCAGAGAUGAUUGGUGUCGGCUUAGCAGCUGCCAUUUAAUCAAAUCACAAUUCAUAAACUACUGAUUCCUGAACUCUUUAUGGUUUGUUCUUUCAACUCUUGAUUCCUGAACUACUGGAUCUUGCAUCUGUGUUUAGCUAGUAGAGUAUAAAAUCCAAAUUCUUAUGACCAGAAGUAUGAAUGGUUGUUUUAAUGUUGCUCUCUGUUAAUACCAGAGGAGAAUAAUAUGUCACUGAAUCUGAUGCAAUGAUAAUCUAAGCUCAAAACAGUAAUCAUUAUUGUUUCUUUCUUUAGCAUAUACAUAUGGAAUUCGUUGCCCUGACAUUAUAGUUUAAGCUCAAAAAUAUAGAUGAUGUAUAUAAUUUAUUUUCCGUUGGCAAAUAUGGAGUGAUUGUCCAGAUUAAAAAUAACAUUGUUGGAUAAUGAUUUGUGGUUUGUCUGAAUCUGAUAGGUGACGAUAUGUCAUUCUUCUUGUUGCGAGAUAGUCUUGUCUUUGCAAAGGAACGACUGCUUCUAGACUAUGUAAUCCUGUUUGGAGUGAAGGUAUUUUCCCUCAUUACACUUAGAACAAGUGAACCUUCAUGAUUUAAUCUUCCAAGGCUUGUUUUCUUGCCCAAGUGUUUUUUAAGGCUUAGGCAGAGUAGGGCUCUUGGUUGAACUGAACUUUCUGAUUAUUGAAUUGAACUACUGGUGGAAGUCAUUAGAUUACAACAGAAGUUGGAUCUUGGUUGAAACUAAUUUGGAGCUUUGCAGUUUUCUUAUAGCCCGCUGGUGGGCAAAGUCUCAUGCCUGAGCAGUUACUACUUGUUGCUAAUUCCAUUAUUGUAUGAUGUGCUAGUGCAGGAUCUGUGACUGUUGCAGCCAAUGAAUUGCUGCACAUAUUACACAUACUUUUUUCUUUGCCUUUAUUUUUAUAAAGUAUAUACCUUUUACUUUCUGCAAUGAAGAAAACUACAUUGCGUAUAGUGCGAAAAUGUCUGCCCAAUAAUGCUUUAUUUGUCAACUUACAUUAAUCUAGCCCAAUAAUGCUUUAUUUGUCAACUUACAUUAAUCUAUUCACAAUUCUUAUCUGAAAAGGAUAAUUAAACUGGUAGGUGGAUCAGUGAUAGGAUAAACUAAUUACGUUUUUCUAUGCUCGAUCAACCUUGUACAGUUCUAUGUGUGCCUUUCUUUAAUUACAUCCAGUAGAGAAGGGGCCAGGUAUGAUAAACGAUGGCCAUGUACUCCAGUUCUCAAAUGCAACAUAAAUCAACUUAUUUGUCUUCCGAAUAAAUUGUAAGAUAUGGGUAAGAAGUUCUCACAUGAGUACUACUCAGAAGGGUGAACCUUUUUUUCACUAGUCUUGCCACCUGUUGAUGAUCUAUUUAUGCUUGAAAAUAGUGCAAUGAAACCGUGUCGUACUAGUAUUGAACGAUUUACUAAACUGUUGUAUUAUGAAACAGUUGCUGACUUCCAAACGAAAAUGUUCUAAUUCAGUCAACGUCGAGCUGCUGUUCUCAGCUUAUGUGGAGUAGAGGAAGACGAGAUAUCCCGAACAUUGUGUUACAAUUUGCAUCUUCAGAAGUGCGGUUGUCCAUGGCAUGGAGUUUUGAUAAUUUAGAACUUUUUGUACUGGUGUAAAGGUUCAGAACAAGCCCGCGACUAUCGUGUUUCUAGUAGCUAAAAUCUAUUUGUUCCUAUUGGCAUUGGCUUCAUUGUUCUAAAACUCAGAACCUGUUGAACAAUGAUGUUAUUUGUAAUGGCAGCAUGAGAGGAGGAAGAUUUGGUUUCUUGUUCUGUGUUAACUUCCUAUAAGCAAUGCACCUCCGAUGAUUUUGUCAAAAGCGUGUCGAGUUGAUAUUCU
rnacentral:lncRNA from 1 species